rnacentral:piRNA from 1 species
UGAAGCCAGUACUGUCCUCUGGGGGAUGU